AGGCAGCGCUCUGUGGCAGAUGGUUGAAAUUGACUAACACACUAUGAACUUGCUACAGCAAGAAGGUCUAACCUAUUCAGGUGUUUUCUCCUUGUGAGACCAGCUGUUGCAUAGGCUUAACCAGG